UACGUAGGUGGCAAGCGUUGUCCGGAUUUACUGGGCGUAAAGGAUGCGUAGGCGGACAUUUAAGUCAGAUGUGAAAUACCCGAGCUUAACUUGGGUGCUGCAUUUGAAACUGGGUGUCUAGAGUGCAGGAGAGGUAAGUGGAAUUCCUAGUGUAGCGGUGAAAUGCGUAGAGAUUAGGAAGAACACCAGUGGCGAAGGCGACUUACUGGACUGUAACUGACGCUGGGGCAUGAAAGCGUGGGGAGCAAACAGG
rnacentral:rRNA from 1 species